AUACCGCAUAACAAUGGAUGACACAUGUCAUUUAUUUGAAAGGGGCAAUUAUUCCACUACAAGAUGGACCUGCGUUGUAUUAGCUAGUAGGUGAGGUAAUGGCUCACCUAGGCGACGAUACAUAGCCGACCUGAGAGGGUGAUCGGCCACACUGGGACUGAGACACGGCCCAGACUCCUACGGGAGGCAGCAGUAGGGAAUCUUCGGCAAUGGGGCAACCCUGACCGAGCAACGCCGCGUGAGUGAAGAAGGUUUUCGGAUCGUAAAGCUCUGUUGUAAGUCAAGAACGGGUGUGAGAGUGGAAAGUUCACACUGUGACGGUAGCUUACCAGAAAGGCGGCUAACGUACGUGCCAGCAGCCGCGGUAAUACGUAGGUCCCGAGCGUUGUCCGGAUUUAGUUGGCGUAAAGCGAGCGCAGGCGGUUUGAUAAGUCGUGAAGUUAAACGGCGUGUGGCUACGAACCAUAGUUCGCUUUAGGAAACUGUCAAACUUGAGUGCGAGAAGGGAGUAGUGGAACUUCUAG
rnacentral:rRNA from 1 species